CGGCUGUAGCUAAAUUAAUCCAUCAAAUGGUAGGAAGUUAUAUGGUCGGGUGUUGAAUAUUUUCGAUCAACAUUUUCGCUUACCGAAUUUCUCACAUAU
rnacentral:snoRNA from 1 species